UUCUCCUAUUGGGAGAGUCCCACAUCGCCCAUGCUUGCUCACUGCCCUCGCAAUUUGUCCUAUAAAACCCACAUUCCCCUACUCAGUAAGCCAUAUCUUGUUCGCCCUUUGGGCUAUGAUCAAGUGAAGUAUGUGUUGAGUUUUCUCAACAUAUUUAAGUAUUUUUUAGUAUUAUGUGGUGAUAUUAUCGAUAAUUUCAAAAAUAUCGUAAUAUUAUUGAUAUUAUUGAUAAUAUCUUGAUAUUUUGACAAAAAUUAUUUGGAUAGUUAAAAAAAUAUCCGAUCUCCAAAAAAAUGAUAAUAUCGAGGAUAUUUCGCCGAUAUUAUUGAUUUUUUCUUCCAUGGUUAUAACCUAAAAGUUAAAAUUAGGUUGUUCAUAUUUGACACUAAUCUGACUCGUUUCUUAAUAUAAUAGUGAAAUCAUAUCAUAUUUGUGUUUAUGUCAAGUAAUGUUGGACACGCAUACUAACAAAUCAUAUCAUAUUCGUGUUUAUGUCAAGUAACAAAAAACGCAAACCCUGCUAACUUCGUGUUGGAUUUAACAAUUCAUUCCUAACUGUUCCUCUUCCAACAAAUGCAAAAAUGCAAAAUACAAGUGGUUGACCAAAAAUAAUUCUAAUUCCAAAAAACCCCACAUCCCCACAGAAAAAACACGACCCCCCAAACACUGGAUAUUUUAGUGCCCUAUUCACCUGCAAUCCCACAAAUCAAUUAACCACAAGUCCUACUGCACC
rnacentral:lncRNA from 1 species